rnacentral:rRNA from 1 species
UAAAAUGACUCUUGACAAUGGAUAUCUUGGUCCUUAAUUCGAUGAAGAACAUUGUGAAAUGUGAUACUUAUUGUGAAUUGCCGAAUCUCGUGAAUCAUUAAGUUUUUGAACGUAAGUUAUGCUUUUUUCCUUUUAAUGGGUAUGGCAUAUUUGGUUGGGUGU